AGGACGUUCUUCACCAGGGGAGCUCCUAAGCAUGCAAGAAGGCCGUACUUGAGGUUACUGUUUAAUGUUGAAGACUCUGUGACCCGAAUUCUCAAACCUUUCCGUCGCCCAAUUACACAUAUUUGACGAGGCUUUCGCAGGCGUUUCGGGCAUUUUCAGCCACCCUGCUCAUGCUUCUCCUCUCCUUCCGCCGCCCCGUCGAGUACAAGCUGAUGACGUCGUCCAUCCAGUAGGUGAUGAGGCCGCUCUCGAGGAACCUUUGGAGGGAGCGAUCGAUCCGACGCUUGAACGAUGUGCCGCGCCUGGAGGAGAUGCAAAGGAGGAGGUUGAAGGCGCCGCUGAAGGUGUGCGUCCCCCACUUCCAUCCCCCUUGCCUCUGCAGUGCCACCAAAUCCUCGAAGUUGUUGAUGGUCGUGGAUUUCCCCUGCACGACGAGGUGGGAGACGAGGGAGCUGGUGUAGGAGGUCCUCAGUAUCAGGCAGCCCAUCAGCCACACCGCCACCAUGAUCUGGGAAUGAAAGACGAUGAUGUAAGAAUGUAAACGUUAGAGAAGUAAACGUUUUUGUCUGUACUAUAAAUGAAAUAAUAAGAAAUGCUAGCAAGGUAUAUACGUGUUUUCUAGACAAUGAAACAAUACAUAUAUUUUUGAUCUGGAAGUGAAAGACGAUAGUAUUGAUGUAAGACUG